rnacentral:rRNA from 1 species
CGCGUGGGAAUCUACCCAAAGGUACGGAACAACCAAGGGAAACUUUGGCUAAUACCGUAUGUGCCCGAAAGGGGAAAGAUUUAUCGCCUUUGGAUGAGCCCGCGUCGGAUUAGCUAGUUGGUGAGGUAAUGGCUCACCAAGGCGACGAUCCGUAGCUGGUCUGAGAGGAUGAUCAGCCACACUGGGACUGAGACACGGCCCAGACUCCUACGGGAGGCAGCAGUGGGGAAUAUUGGACAAUGGGCGCAAGCCUGAUCCAGCCAUGCCGCGUGAGUGAUGAAGGCCCUAGGGUUGUAAAGCUCUUUCAGCGGGGAAGAUAAUGACGGUACCCGCAGAAGAAGCCCCGGCUAACUUCGUGCCAGCAGCCGCGGUAAUACGAAGGGGGCUAGCGUUGUUCGGAAUCACUGGGCGUAAAGCGCGCGUAGGCGGAUUGUUAAGUCAGGGGUGAAAUCCCGAGGCUCAACCUCGGAACUGCCUCUGAUACUGGCGAUCUAGAGUCCGGGAGAGGUGAGUGGAACUCCUAGUGUAGAGGUGAAAUUCGUAGAUAUUAGGAAGAACACCAGUGGC